rnacentral:lncRNA from 1 species
GCGACAGAGUGAGACUCCAUCUGAAAAAAAAAAAAAAAACCCCGAAGGAAAACUAGCUGAUUAGAUGAUUAGACUAUAACUAGCUAUACAAUGAAACAUUACACAGCCACUAAAAAUGUUUAAUGAUGCUGAUUGACAUUAAAAAGGUGUUCAAGAAAUGGUACUAAGUGAAAAAUACAAGUUAGAAACUAUAUCAUCCCUUUUUUGCUUAAAAUUUUAACAUACAGAUAAGUGUGCACACACAUACACAUACAAAAUAAAGGAUAUCCACCAAAACAGUGCUUCUCACUCGAUGAUAGUAUUAAGGGAGAUUUAUGUUUUCUUCCUCUUGCUUAUCCAUGUUUUCUACUACUUCUAUCAUAAACAUGCAUUAUUUUAUGUAAUAUUUUAAAGUUAAAAAGUUUUAAAUUCGAUAGCCACAUUCAGGUCUAAAAUGCAGCACAAAAUCUUUAUGCCAUAUGACUCAUACUCAAUGGACUAUAAUUGUAAGCAGCCUGAUAUUAUCAGUAAUAAAACUCCUGAUUGGCUGCCCUGCCUAUGGAGUAGCCAUUCUUUUGUUUCUCUACUUCUAAAAACAAAAGAAAACAAGAAAACUCCGGAUGUAUUAAAAAGCACCUCAGCAUGGCCGUACUGCCUUACUGCCUCUGGGAUAAACCAAGUAACUGAUUGCUUAUGGUCACCACAAGCAUCAGUGUAAAGGUGUGCCUCAUGUGUACGGCAGCAAAAAAAAAAGCCAUACUGGGACAACCUUUAAGAAGGGUGCCCAGUCAGCCAGAGACAUGAGUGUUAUCCAGGAAGUAGAGGAUAUGCAUGGAGGCACACAUACACACAAAUACACAUCAUCCAGUAACUGACAAACAGCAAGAACUUAAAUGCCAAAACUUCUGUUUUUCUUUAUACAUUUUAAUUGUUUUGAAUGUCUUUCUCCCUGCCUUCUUAAAGUACACUGACUGAAACUAGAUUUAGGGCAUCAUCAUAAACAUGUAUUAUUACAUCUUAUGAUACACUGUUACGCAUCAUAAAUCUGUAUUAUUAUGUUUAUGUAUUAUGUUCUUAUUCAGUGUUGCCCUUACGGCUGUUUAAUAGACCCUGUAUCUUUUUCUUCUUCUCCAGUAUUUCUGUCUUUUACAAUCUGACUGUUUCUCUUGUUAGCUGACCUUUUAUACUGCUGCACACCGCUCUGCAUUCAAAGCCAGAUGACAACAAGCACCAAAUUACCAUUAAGUACAUCUGUGAAGCAGGCAGAAGCAGGCAGAGCUCAAUUUCAUAGACAAGAAAACCAAAAGGAUGAGGCCAUUAACAAGUCAUUUUCUGAAGGUCCACAUGAAAGAAUGAAAUUUUACUUGGAGAUUGGACUUGUAAAACAGGACUGGACUGAUAAUAUUUUCUUCCACCUAUACUACAGGAAUGUGAUGAAGGUAAAUGAGUCAAUUCAAGAAGUACACUGGAACUCCUGGAUGGAAAACAUAUGUCUGGCAGAAUGUGUGGCAUUAGUAAAUACAUAUAUGCAUGCCCUGGGCUGAUUAAAAUGUUGUAGAAGACUUCUAGCAUCAUUAUAAUUUUCUAGGUCUGUGGGUAUACAUUUUCCUCAUGUAUUUUAAAACUAAAACUUAAGAAAAAUGGGAAAAGCUUUAAUAACCUAAUAGAAUAUCUAAGUUAUGGCAUUUGUGACAUAUCUUAUGUGAGGCCAAUUAAAGCAAUGUUAUUGUUCAUUAUUCGAAAAGGCAAGCAAAUGUUUCAUAGUCAUUUUCCUCACCUCACAGAAGAGGAGACAUGCUUUUCUUUAGCAGCAUGCAAAAUUAAGGAAC